rnacentral:rRNA from 1 species
GGGUUGUGAGGUUAAGCGACUAAGCGUACACGGUGGAUGCCCUGGCAGUCAGAGGCGAUGAAGGACGUGCUAAUCUGCGAUAAGCGUCGGUAAGGUGAUAUGAACCGUUAUAACCGGCGAUUUCCGAAUGGGGAAACCCAGUGUGAUUCGUCACACUAUCAUUAACUGAAUCCAUAGGUUAAUGAGGCGAACCGGGGGAACUGAAACAUCUAAGUACCCCGAGGAAAAGAAAUCAACCGAGAUUCCCCCAGUAGCGGCGAGCGAACGGGGAGCAGCCCAGAGCCUGAAUCAGUGUGUGUGUUAGUGGAAGCGUCUGGAAAGGCGCGCGAUACAGGGUGACAGCCCCGUACACAAAAAUGCACAUACUGUGAGCUCGAUGAGUAGGGCGGGACACGUGGUAUCCUGUCUGAAUAUGGGGGACCAUCCUCCAAGGCUAAAUACUCCUGACUGACCGAUAGUGAACCAGUACCGUGAGGGAAAGGCGAAAAGAACCCCGGCGAGGGGAGUGAAAAAGAACCUGAAACCGUGUACGUACAAGCAGUGGGAGCCUCUUUUAUGGGGUGACUGCGUACCUUUUGUAUAAUGGGUCAGCGACUUAUAUUCUGUAGCAAGGUUAACCGAAUAGGGGAGCCGAAGGGAAACCGAGUCUUAACCGGGCGUUAAGUUGCAGGGUAUAGACCCGAAACCCGGUGAUCUAGCCAUGGGCAGGUUGAAGGUUGGGUAACACUAACUGGAGGACCGAACCGACUAAUGUUGAAAAAUUAGCGGAUGACUUGUGGCUGGGGUGAAAGGCCAAUCAAACCGGGAGAUAGCUGGUUCUCCCGAAAGCUAUUUAGGUAGCGCCUCGUGAAUUCAUCUCCGGGGGUAGAGCACUGUUUCGGCAAGGGGGUCAUCCCGACUUACCAACCCGAUGCAAACUGCGAAUACCGGAGAAUGUUAUCACGGGAGACACACGGCGGGUGCUAACGUCCGUCGUGAAGAGGGAAACAACCCAGACCGCCAGCUAAGGUCCCAAAGUCAUGGUUAAGUGGGAAACGAUGUGGGAAGGCCCAGACAGCCAGGAUGUUGGCUUAGAAGCAGCCAUCAUUUAAAGAAAGCGUAAUAGCUCACUGGUCGAGUCGGCCUGCGCGGAAGAUGUAACGGGGCUAAACCAUGCACCGAAGCUGCGGCAGCGACACUGUGUGUUGUUGGGUAGGGGAGCGUUCUGUAAGCCUGUGAAGGUGUGCUGUGAGGCAUGCUGGAGGUAUCAGAAGUGCGAAUGCUGACAUAAGUAACGAUAAAGCGGGUGAAAAGCCCGCUCGCCGGAAGACCAAGGGUUCCUGUCCAACGUUAAUCGGGGCAGGGUGAGUCGACCCCUAAGGCGAGGCCGAAAGGCGUAGUCGAUGGGAAACAGGUUAAUAUUCCUGUACUUGGUGUUACUGCGAAGGGGGACGGAGAAGGCUAUGUUGGCCGGGCGACGGUUGUCCCGGUUUAAGCGUGUAGGCUGGUUUUCCAGGCAAAUCCGGAAAAUCAAGGCUGAGGCGUGAUGACGAGGCACUACGGUGCUGAAGCAACAAAUGCCCUGCUUCCAGGAAAAGCCUCUAAGCAUCAGGUAACAUCAAAUCGUACCCCAAACCGACACAGGUGGUCAGGUAGAGAAUACCAAGGCGCUUGAGAGAACUCGGGUGAAGGAACUAGGCAAAAUGGUGCCGUAACUUCGGGAGAAGGCACGCUGAUAUGUAGGUGAAGUCCCUCGCGGAUGGAGCUGAAAUCAGUCGAAGAUACCAGCUGGCUGCAACUGUUUAUUAAAAACACAGCACUGUGCAAACACGAAAGUGGACGUAUACGGUGUGACGCCUGCCCGGUGCCGGAAGGUUAAUUGAUGGGGUCAGCGCAAGCGAAGCUCUUGAUCGAAGCCCCGGUAAACGGCGGCCGUAACUAUAACGGUCCUAAGGUAGCGAAAUUCCUUGUCGGGUAAGUUCCGACCUGCACGAAUGGCGUAAUGAUGGCCAGGCUGUCUCCACCCGAGACUCAGUGAAAUUGAACUCGCUGUGAAGAUGCAGUGUACCCGCGGCAAGACGGAAAGACCCCGUGAACCUUUACUAUAGCUUGACACUGAACAUUGAGCCUUGAUGUGUAGGAUAGGUGGGAGGCUUUGAAGUGUGGACGCCAGUCUGCAUGGAGCCGACCUUGAAAUACCACCCUUUAAUGUUUGAUGUUCUAACGUGGACCCGUGAUCCGGGUUGCGGACAGUGUCUGGUGGGUAGUUUGACUGGGGCGGUCUCCUCCUAAAGAGUAACGGAGGAGCACGAAGGUUGGCUAAUCCUGGUCGGACAUCAGGAGGUUAGUGCAAUGGCAUAAGCCAGCUUGACUGCGAGCGUGACGGCGCGAGCAGGUGCGAAAGCAGGUCAUAGUGAUCCGGUGGUUCUGAAUGGAAGGGCCAUCGCUCAACGGAUAAAAGGUACUCCGGGGAUAACAGGCUGAUACCGCCCAAGAGUUCAUAUCGACGGCGGUGUUUGGCACCUCGAUGUCGGCUCAUCACAUCCUGGGGCUGAAGUAGGUCCCAAGGGUAUGGCUGUUCGCCAUUUAAAGUGGUACGCGAGCUGGGUUUAGAACGUCGUGAGACAGUUCGGUCCCUAUCUGCCGUGGGCGCUGGAGAACUGAGGGGGGCUGCUCCUAGUACGAGAGGACCGGAGUGGACGCAUCACUGGUGUUCGGGUUGUCAUGCCAAUGGCACUGCCCGGUAGCUAAAUGCGGAAGAGAUAAGUGCUGAAAGCAUCUAAGCACGAAACUUGCCCCGAGAUGAGUUCUCCCUGACCCUUUAAGGGUCCUGAAGGAACGUUGAAGACGACGACGUUGAUAGGCCGGGUGUGUAAGCGCAGCGAUGCGUUGAGCUAACCGGUACUAAUGAACCGUGAGGCUUAACCUUACAACGCCGAAGGUGUUU